rnacentral:rRNA from 1 species
UACGUAGGGUGCAAGCGUUAAUCGGAAUUACUGGGCGUAAAGCGUGCGCAGGCGGUUUUGUAAGUCUGUCGUGAAAUCCCCGGGCUCAACCUGGGAAUGGCGAUGGAGACUACAAGGCUAAGAGUUUGGCAGAGGGGGGUAGAAUUCCGACGUGUAGCAGUGAAAUGCGUAGAUAUGUGGAGGAACACCGAUGGCGAAGGCAGCCCCCUGGGUCAAACUGACGCUCAUGCACGAAAGCGUGGGGAGCAAACAGG